GUCGUCAAAGACUAUGACGUUGAUAGGCUAUAGGUGUAAAACUGGUAACAGUAAAGCCAAGUAGUACUAAUUGCCCGUAAGCUUUAAUUUUUUU
rnacentral:rRNA from 1 species